rnacentral:sRNA from 1 species
CGCAGGCGCGCGUCAACCGGACACGGUGGCAGAGGGAACGGGUUGGUUUUUCCGGUUUCCCGACCCGGCCAACGAAACGGCAGCCGAGCCCUUAUCCCACCCGCGCC